UACCUGUCCCAGACCUGCUGUUUUCAACUCUCUAGAGACAAUCACUGAAACUCCACCUGAUGUGGUGGAAGUUGAAGAAGCAGAUCAGAACGCCUUCGAGGACCACCUCCAGGCCCAGACUGAGAAGGGUGUGGAGGUUUUUGCCAGGACCUAGGGGUUCUGCCCAACACCCAGACAUGGGUCCACCUGAUGUUCUUCAUCACCAAGCACCCUCCAACUUUUCAUUACAUCCUCUACAGCUACUGUUAUUGUCAUGUUGUCAUUAUCUGCUAAGAACGUUUUCUUGCUCCAUCAUACUGGGCACAUAAUAUGUGAGACACAGACUAACUAAAAACACUAGCACUGCAAACACUCAGAACAAAGAGAGCAGCAGUGCCUGGACUUUGCACUCUCCCUUUUUAAGUCCCCCUUCUGAGACUGACUGGCUGCCUGUUGAGAACCGGGCAGUGACGGGCAGAACCUCCCACCCACACAGCACCCACCUCCUCUCUAUUCCACCCACCGUAAUGCAGUAUUUCAGGCUAUGAUUGUCAUGUGAGUGUACAGGAAAUCUUUGAAAGUAAAUUGACACACCCGUACCCUAAAAAAUAACAAAGUUUAUAUAUUUAAAUCUUAAAUAUUGCCAGGUUGGUUUACACAGAUGUUUCACAAGGUGUUCAUUGUUGUAAAGGUAUCCCUUGAUGGUAUUUGUUAGUGCAACAUUACUCAUUGUUGUAUCCUAGGACCUCCAAUAGAUACAUUCAACCACAA